UGAGUAACCUGCCCUUAACUCUGGGAUAAGCCUGGGAAACUGGGUCUAAUACCGGAUAUGACUCCUCAUCGCAUGGUGGGGAGUGGAAAGCUUUAUUGUGGUUUGGAUGGACUCGCGGCCUAUCAGCUUGUUGGUGAGGUAAUGGCUCACCAAGGCGACGACGGGUAGCCGGCCUGAGAGGGUGACCGGCCACACUGGGACUGAGACACGGCCCAGACCUCCGUACGGGGAGGCAG
rnacentral:rRNA from 1 species